GACAAACGCUGGCGGCGUGCCUAAAACAUGCAAGUCGAACGGGCGAGCGCAAGCUCGUCAGUGGCGGACGGCUGAGUAACACGUACGUGACCUGCCCGGACGUGGGGGAUAACCCCGAGAAAUCGGGGCUAAUACCGCAUGUGGUCCUUGGGGUGGUGCCCGAGGAAGAAAGCUCGUGAGGGUGCGUUCGGAGGGGCGUGCGGCCCAUCAGCUGGUUGGUAGGGUAAUGGCCUACCAAGGCGAUGACGGGUAGCUGGUCUGAGAGGAUGAUCAGCCA
rnacentral:rRNA from 1 species